AUAACUGUACAACACUUGUUCUCAGUAAAACAAAACUCACAUUACAUGUUUAAAUAUCCCUUAUGUAUAAACAGGUUACAGAGGUUAGUACAGGCAUAAGACUAACUUCAGUAACCUGGCAGUAUGUUCUACACAGAAAUAUAACUGUACAACACUUGUUCUCAGUAAAACAAAACUCAUUUUACAUUGUUGACUAUCCCUUAUGUAUAAACAGGUUACAGGGGUUAGUACAGGCAUAAGACUAACUUCAG
rnacentral:lncRNA from 1 species